UACGUAGGGUGCAAGCGUUGUCCGGAAUUAUUGGGCGUAAAGAGCUCGUAGGCGGUCUGUCGCGUCGGCUGUGAAAACUCGGGGCUCAACCCCGAGCCUGCAGUCGAUACGGGCAGACUAGAGUGGCUGUAGGGGAGACUGGAAUUCCUGGUGUAGCGGUGAAAUGCGCAGAUAUCAGGAGGAACACCGGUGGCGAAGGCGGGUCUCUGGGCCGAAACUGACGCUGGAGGAGCGAA
rnacentral:rRNA from 1 species